CCUACGGGGGGCAGCAGUGGGGAAUAUUGGACAAUGGGCGAAAGCCUGAUCCAGCCAUGCCGCGUGUGUGAAGAAGGCCUUCGGGUUGUAAAGCACUUUCAGUGGGGAAGAAAGCCUUGGGGCUAAUACCCUCGAGGAAGGACAUCACCCACAGAAGAAGCACCGGCUAACUCCGUGCCAGCAGCCGCGGUAAUGCGGAGGGUGCGAGCGUUAAUCGGAAUUACUGGGCGUAAAGCGCGCGUAGGCGGUCUGAUAAGCCGGUUGUGAAAGCCCCGGGCUCAACCUGGGAACGGCAUCCGGAACUGUCAGGCUAGAGUGCAGGAGAGGAAGGUAGAAUUCCCGGUGUAGCGGUGAAAUGCGUAGAGAUCGGGAGGAAUACCAGUGGCGAAGGCGGCCUUCUGGACUGACACUGACGCUGAGGUGCGAAAGCGUGGGUAGCAAACAGGAUUAGAUACCCUAGUAGUC
rnacentral:rRNA from 1 species